rnacentral:rRNA from 1 species
CAGUCGCCACGGGAAAACGUAGGGUGCGAGCGUUAAUCGGAAUUACUGGGCGUAAAGCGUGCGUAGGCGGUUUGUUAAGUCUGCUGUGAAAUCCCCGGGCUCAACCUGGGAACGGCAGUGGAUACUGGCAAGCUAGAGUCUUGUAGAGGGGGGUAGAAUUCCAGGUGUAGCGGUGAAAUGCGUAGAGAUCUGGAGGAAUACCGGUGGCGAAGGCGGCCCCCUGGACAAAGACUGACGCUCAGGUGCGAAAGCGUGGGGAGCAAACAGGAUUAGAUACCCCAGUAGUCCCUGUCUCUUAUAA